UACGUAGGGGGCAAGCGUUGUCCGGAAUCAUUGGGCGUAAAGAGCGUGUAGGCGGCCCGGUAAGUCCGCUGUAAAAGUCCAGGGCUCAACCCUGGAAAGCCGGUGGAUACUGUCGGGCUAGAGUCCGGAAGAGGCGAGUGGAAUUCCUGGUGUAGCGGUGAAAUGCGCAGAUAUCAGGAGGAACACCGAUAGCGAAGGCAGCUCGCUGGGACGGAACUGACGCUGAGACGCGAAAGCGUGGGGAGCAAACAGG
rnacentral:rRNA from 1 species